rnacentral:rRNA from 1 species
UAGGGAAUCUUCCGCAAUGGGCGAAAGCCUGACGGAGCAACGCCGCGUGAGUGAAGAAGGAUUUCGGUUCGUAAAGCUCUGUUGUUAGGGAAAAAUGAUUGUGUAGUAACUAUACACAGUAGAGACAGUACCUAACCAGAAAGCCACGGCUAACUACGUGCCAGCAGCCGCGGUAAU